CUCCCCCCUCUUCCUCUCAUAGUGUGUAUGUGUGUGAGUAUAUAUUCUGCUUGAGUACACUUGAAAGAGGCUUCUGAUUGGUCGGUUUGUGUGUUACCUUUUGAAUGAAUCUUAUAAAAUUGUGCGAUUUGUAGUCAGCUGAAAGAGUGGACCAAAUGCUGCCUUCCCCGACGCUCUGAGCCGCACGAUACUCAAGGCACUACAACACAUUCGAGUCGAUCAGACGGACUUCGCCGGACUUGGCUUAGAGCAGGGAGAGCGAGAGUGAGGGAGAGAGGGAGAGUGUGUGAAAGACAGCAUAUAUAUACACACACACACACACACACACGCAGCACUUAAACAGCUACAAGUUUACAUACUCGCAUAUAUAUAUAUAUAUAUACGUUUAUAUAUAAAUAUAUAUAUAUUUCACAUACAAUUUUGUAUGUUUUUAAAUAUAGAAAAAGUUUUUACACAUAUAUAUAUAUUAUACAUAUCUACAUACGGACUAAUUUAACUUUCUUACAAAUCUGAAAAUUGACGCUCUCUCAUAGUCAAUAUAUUUUGUAUAUACAUAUAUAUAUAUAUAUAUAUAUAUAUAUCAUUUAUAAGUAUUUGAUAUAUAUCCUCAUACAAAAACUUGCAUAUUAAGUUCUGAACACUUCAGAAAAAGAAAAAAAAAAAGCGAAAAAUAGCUAAUAGAAACAUAUACAUAAAAAGUUAUAAAACAAGUGUAUGACUAUUUGUGUGAGUUAACCACUGCUUACGUUAGCCACGCAUGUAGUAUAUAAAUAUAUAUAUAUAUAUAUAAUAUAAAUAUACACAUUAUAUAUAAAUUCUAUAGGGUUUGUGUGUGACUAUAUUUAUUUAUUUAUUUGUAUGACAAGAAGUUUUAAAAGAAACUUGCCGAAAUCGAACCUGGAUGUCACGGAACUUACUUCUACAUAAAAAAAAAAAUCUAAACAAAGUUCAAUAAAAUAUCGACCACCAAUUAAACCAACAACUGCGGAAAUUUCUUAAGGAUGGCCGGGUCCAAGUAUCCGGUGAUGCUUGAGGGACGCCCCCUCCAAGUGUCACCUGUGUCUGGAGACCGGCCACAUUAAGAAGAACUGCCCCAGGGACCAAAGUAAGAUCCUGGAACA